UACGUAGGUGGCAAGCGUUGUCCGGAAUUAUUGGGCGUAAAGCGCGCGCAGGCGGUCCUUUAAGUCUGGUGUGAAAGCCCACGGCUCAACCGUGGAGGGUCAUUGGAAACUGGGGGACUUGAGUGCAGAAGAGGAAAGCGGAAUUCCACGUGUAGCGGUGAAAUGCGUAGAGAUGUGGAGGAACACCAGUGGCGAAGGCGGCUUUCUGGUCUGUAACUGACGCUGAGGAGCGAAAGCGUGGGGAGCGAACAGG
rnacentral:rRNA from 1 species